rnacentral:rRNA from 1 species
AUUGAACGCUGGCGGCAUGCCUUACACAUGCAAGUCGAACGGCAGCAUGAUCUAGCUUGCUAGAUUGAUGGCGAGUGGCGAACGGGUGAGUAAUACAUCGGAACGUGCCCUGUAGUGGGGGAUAACUAGUCGAAAGAUUAGCUAAUACCGCAUACGACCUGAGGGUGAAAGUGGGGGACCGCAAGGCCUCAUGCUAUAGGAGCGGCCGAUGUCUGAUUAGCUAGUUGGUGAGGUAAAGGCUCACCAAGGCGACGAUCAGUAGCUGGUCUGAGAGGACGAUCAGCCACACUGGGACUGAGACACGGCCCAGACUCCUACGGGAGGCCGCAGUGGGGAAUUUUGGACAAUGGGCGAAAGCCUGAUCCAGCAAUGCCGCGUGUGUGAAGACGGCCUUCGGGUUGUAAAGCACUUUUGUCCGGAAAGAAAUGGCUCUGGUUAAUACCUGGGGUCGAUGACGGUACCGGAAGAAUAAGGACCGGCUAACUACGUG